GCCAGUGUGGCAUAGCUGUUUGAGUGUUGGACUACAAGUCUGGAGACCAGGGUUCAAUUCCCAGCUUGGCCA